UCCCACCAAAGGAGCUUUGCAGCAGAGCACUGGCCAGCAGCGCCAGGACUCGGGAGGCUGAGGCAGGAGGAU
rnacentral:miRNA from 1 species